CAUCUUCAAAUGCAAAACAGGUGUCCCGUUUACUCUCUCUUUUACUUCCUUCUUCUUCAUUAUUCCUUUGCUCUUUGAUUUUCUUCUUCUCCUUCUUCCUCUGUUGAUUAUUGGUCUCUUCUGUUUCUCUGUAUUAUUGUUUUUUUUUAUGUUACUUCUUUGCAUCCGGGAAGCGUUGCAUGAGAGCCAGACAAUUGAAAGAUUUGAAGCUCAGACAUGACUAUUGUCAACUGAAACUUAUGUACCAGCGGAGAUUAGACUUGGAUAUUCUGGAGUAGCGGCGCCAUCGUAAUCCUUUGUCCCUUUGAUUGGGUUGCGUUUCUAGAUCACACCUCUGUGAGCUUUGGUUUUAAUUUUUUCUAUUGCUUUCGGUGUUUUUCCUUUAUGGUCAUACGGAGGAAAUUUUUCACAAGCUAUAACAUUUGAUGCAUGCUUUUGGAGGUAUGCAUUUUCUACUUGGUCGGUCAAGCACUUAACACAGGAUGAUACCAGUAUUCUCACCAAGGUUAAAGUACCUCUACUAGUGUUUUUCCAUCAGCAUAUUUAUGGUCAUGGAUGCAUUUUUCAUGGAAGUGUAUGAAUAGAAUCUGCCAGACUCCCUCGGUAUGCCUUUUCUACUUGAUUCGUCGAAUACUUAACUCUGUUGGUAAGCUCAUUUACUGUCUAAUUGUGUUUAUAUCAUAGAAAUUCUGAGAUAUGAAGCUCAGGAGGCGGAUGGCCAGCCAUAGUAUUGGUUAACAUGAUAGACUAACAGUCAAGUGUAUUCAUUAAAUUCAUAGGAUAUAACGGAUUUCGAUCAUAUGUAAGUAAAUUGUUGUGUGAUUAUUUUAGCACCUCAGCCUUUUUUUUUUUUGAAGAGUAGGUUAAAUUGCUGACUCAAUUAUUCCUAAUUAUCUUCUCUGCUUCUCACUGGAGCAGAAAGAAGUUCAGAUGGUAUAUUUAUGCAAUGAGAACUUCAGUUGCUCAGUAAUUGAAAAAAAAAAGAUCUCAAAUCGCUGAUGGAGUCAGUUUGGCACCUCUUAAAUGGGCUUCCAAAUUGGACCUAUGUCAGGCUUUGGUCCAGCUGAAACCAGUUGCCACUAAGUUUCUUUGUGAUAGUUGAAUCACAAGACAUAUAAUUAUUAAGGCAAACUGAAAAAGCUUAUGCCAUGCUCCAAAUAUUGUUUCUUUUCUUUGUUUGAUUUUAUUGCUUUAAACAUUUUUUGUACAUGACAAAGUACGAGUUGAUUUUAACUCAUAUAACCUUUGUCUCGUAGGUAUUUGGUUCCAUUUUCCUUAUUACUUGCCAGCAAAUUGGUCUCUAUCUUGUGAAAAAGGUAUGAUAAUAGAAGGCAAAGAGCUUUAUUCAUGCUAUAGUUUUCAUUAUGCUUAAGAAACUUUGCACACUUCUCUUCUUAGAAACUCUCUAUAAUUGGAUUUUAAGUGUUAAGUAUUUAUCAAGGAUGAAGUAGUAAUAAAACAGAUAAGGUGCAAUGUCAAGGCAGAGGAUUUAAGAUUCAGAAAAGGGCCAAACAUACCCCUGUACUAUAAAAAAAGGGUCAUAUAUAACCUUCGUUAUACUUUGAGUCCAAAUAUACCCCUACCGUUGUACUAUUGGUUCAAAAUAUACUCUUCAUCCGUUAAGUUUGUCCAAGGUGGCCAUCUAAUCCUACGUGGCACUAACAUUUGAUGAGGUGGAUACCACUUUAGCUCCCCUAACCCAUUUUACCCCUCCCAUCUAUUUGUUCUUCCACCACUAAAUUUUUUUCCUCCACCACCAUUACCGCCAGCAUGACCACCCUAAUUUAUUUCAUCUUUCAAGCAGACAAACUACUUCCGGCUAAUAUAUAUGAUUCUAUUGUCUGUAUCUUUCUUUGUAUUUUUUUCCAAUUAUCCUAUAUUAUAAUUUACAGCAGCCAUAUCUUAUCAUAAUCCAAUUUCACUAAGUCGUGCGGGCACCUACCUUUCAUACCUCGGUAGGCAAACCUUAACCCAACAUUCACAAAUGAUAGAAAAUAGCGAAAGAAAGUAAAAUAACGUAAGUCUCACAGAUAUAAUAUAAAUAAGUACGGAAGUAAAUAAAAUCCACCCCAGUGUCUGGUCUGGUCAUAUAAGUCCGUCUAAAUAAAAAAAUACUACAAGUCUGAAUAAUAAUACAUAAGUGGUCUCAAAUCAUGUCUCAGAAUGGAAAACAAGACAUAAGUAAUAGGAAGAGUCUUCGGGUAGCGAACGUCCUCAUGCUCACCCUGAAGAGACUCGAAUCAGCAUUCCUCGAGUAUCAGCCACGAGGGGUAGAAGUAGAUCCAACCGGGUACUCUGCAUUCAUAAAAGAAUGCAGCAAGUGCAGGUCAACAAACAACAAGUACUGGUAGGUAUCGUAGGCUGACUAAGACUAGCUAACGUAUAUAAAGACAAAAAAGCAAGAUAAACACGUAAAACAAUAAGGUACAAGUCAUCACGAAUCCAUAACCAUAAUACAAGUCAUCACCUAUGUUAUAGCAUCUAAACCCAACUGUGCCAAGUAUUAAUAUAACCGUUCUGAACCAGUAUAUCACAACCAUAUCACAACAAGUCAUCACCUAUAUUAUAGCAUCUAAACCUAACUAUGCCAAGUCUCAAUAUAACCGUUCCGAAUCAGUAUAUCACAAUCAUAUCACAACAAACCAAGAGGUACAAUGUAAUGCAAUAAUGUAUGAAUGAUGAAUGCAAUGCAUAUGCACCGUACACAUGUACUCUGACCGAUGGAACAUCACAUCUCGGCAGCACAACCCAUAGAGGACCUGCGAAGUCUAUGUACCAAUCACUCCGCACACAACCCAGAGGUGACUCCAUUUCUACCUAUACGCGUCAUAUCAGUCAUUCCGCACACAGCCCAGAGGUGACUCGAUAUACAAUGUGUUUCAAUAGAAUUUAUAUUUCCUUCUCACUUUCCAUCCUCAGUACCAUAACAAUGCAAUAUCAAUGUAUCAUGGAAAUGAGUAUGAAUACGAUGCAAUGUAAUAUCAACAACCAAUUCAACCCCAAACAGUACCACACAUGACACACAAGUAAUAUCAAUAACAAGGCUACACAGUAAGCCACAAUGGAAUCACAUUUCUCAUCUUAAUAUCAAAUCAACUAAGGUACAACAAUAUCACAGUGAUGAUGGAACACUAAUCACCAAUAUCCGAUGUCGCAGCAUGGCAACGAGCCAAUAAGUAAAUAGAACAAGAUAAGUCAACAACGCAACGGGGUGGCUAGCCCCCAAAUGAUACAACAAGGCCCAACCUAAGACAAUAUCCAACCCAACUUCAUACCCGAAGGUUUACAUGCAUUCUCUCACAAUAUCAUCUAAACAUACGCUCCGCUAAUCGAAGUCUCACCAUAAGGUAAACUGUAACCUACCUGGAAAUCCGAACAGCAAAGUCUCCAAUAGUCAAACCUUAGUAUUUCCCUUCCUUUGAUCCUCGAGAUAAUGGAAGUCUAAUCAUAUCCGAAUUAUGAAAUUAGAAUCAAGAAGAAAUAUCAUUCAAACCUUACUUCUAUUCAAGACCCAAAUUCCAACCUAUGGAAUGGGGUUUAUGAACUAAAAAGAUGAAAUAAGGAAUCUAUAGGUCUCAACAUGAAAUUAAUAUUCUAGGCGAUCAAUUCCUUCCAAUUACAAGCUAAAAGGACUAACAAAUCACUUAAAUUCGGAUUCUAGGCAAAACCCCCAAAUUUGGGUAUGAACCCUAACUUCCAGUUCCAAUUAGCCGCUAAUUAGGAAGGAAUCGUGCAAUAAUAGUUUCUAAUCAUCAAUUCCAUGCUUAAUGAACAUAACCCGGUCAAUAAUUCAAGAUUUAAUAGCCUAGAAUGAAGAACCCACAACCUCUUUCAAUCCACCAUUUCUUAAGGAAAGUAGCAUGCUUAAUGGUUUCCUAAGGUGAAAAAUGAUACAAGGAAUGGAAAGAAAGGUGAAAGAACUUACCACAAUGAUUUUCUAUGAAGAACAACCUUGAAUGCUCCCAAAAAGCUCUAAAGUUGGAGUGGUAUUGAAUGAAAGAUUUAGGGCUCUUUUAACACACAUUUAAUGAAUCUAACUGCCCGUCACCAGCUUCCACGCUCACAUGAGCGCUUCAGUGGUCCCAGUGCCGCCAUAGCAGGCACUAGACACCAGAAACUCCCAAGUUUCACUAAUUCAACCCGAAAUCUCGACUAUCACCCGAGACUAUCUGCUCACAAACCAUAUAUGCAAACAUACAUAAAAACACGCUACGAACGCACCCGUGACCUCAAAAUUUCCAGCGGAGGUCUCGUUGACCGAGUCAAUCCAUGAUGCCACAAAACUAACUUCCCAACCCAAGUCUCAAAAUGCACCCGAGUGCAUUGGGAAUCGAACCGAAUAUACACACAAAUUCUAAAAGACCAUCCGGACCUCUCGAAAUUGACGGAUUCCUAAAAAAGAUCUGUUUACCUCAAAGUCAACUCUUUUUUGCUUUAAGCCUAAAUUUUUCAAAAAGUCACCCAAAUCAUAUCCAAAGACUUCGGGAAGCCGUACCCGAAGGUUCACAAGCAGCUGAAUACUUAUUCCAGAAGGGUUUAUUCGACCUAGUUGUACCACGUAAUCUUUUAAAAAACGUUCUGAGUGAGUUAUUUAAGCUCCACGCCUUUUUUCCUUUGAGUCAAAAGGAAAGCAAAAUCAAGUAGAGCACUAAGUUCAAUUAUUUUAUUUGUGUUUGUAGCAUAAAAGUAGUCCCCUCGGGUCAAAUGUGAGCUAAAAAAGCUCGGGAAAAGGGUCAAAAGCACUGAAAAGGCUAUAACGACCAAACGGGUUACAUAUCUGAAAACCCAUCAUAGAAAUAUCACAACUAUAAAUAGAGGCAAUUGAGUCCCAAGAUUUUAGCCUGUGUUAUAACUUGUAAAUAUUUCAUACAUAGCAAAGAUACUUUGAAUUAGCAUCUGGGUCCUUUUUAACGGUAAAGAUCCCAACUUUCUUGGAGAGACGUGCUUAAGGAAAGGACAAUAUAAAAUUUGGUAUCAUUUUAAAACCAGCUUAUAAAUUUAGACGAUUGGUAUAGAAAACUUCCAUGAGGAGUUGUUUAUUGUGGAAACUAAGAAGUAUAUAGAUCAUAAUAAAUUCCAGUCAAUGUUAGUUAGACUACUUGGGUUGAUCAUCUUCUCUGUGAGUCUCUUACUGCAACACGUUGAACAACUCCCAUGCUUUCUUUGUGUUAGUUCGAAUAAUGGGAGAUAGAGGACUCCCUUUCCCAAUUAUGUUUGGUGAAUAUUGACAAAUUAUGUAAGGACCUCUUCAUAAGGAAGGACAAGGGAGGAAGCAUAAGCCAAAAAGGUGGUCAUUGUACCUUUUUGUUAUGAUUCUUUUUUCGGUUAAUCAAUCAUGAAGCUCCUAUACAUUAGGUUGUCAUAUGAACAUAGUAACUAACAGGUCUAAUUGGAUAUUAUUACUAACAUUUAUCUCUGCUUAGUCAUUUAGAUUUGGCAACAAAGUUCGCAGGGUAAAAGCAAGGAGGAGUAUGUCUAGAAAAUAGAAACUAAAGGUAAAUCGAUACUGUUGUUUCCUUUGUUUAGACUUUAAUUAAUUUUAUUUUGAUACAAUUUUAUGUCGCGCGGUGUACUUUUGGGAACUAUGAACACAAUACAUUUUUAUGUAUUUUGCUAUUAUCUCUUGUCUGUAACAAGGUGGUCUUUAUGCUAAAAAUUGAUGCUACCGAGUUUUUCCCCCAAAUCUUUAGGAAAAUAAGGAUUUGGAAGCUAAAAGAAAUAAGCUGCGUGUCAGCGUUCUCUGUGGUUCUAAUAUUUUGGGAGUUCUACAUAGAAUAGAGCGUUGAAUUAGAACUCGAUUAGUAUUUGAUGGUUUGUCCAAUAAUAACGUUUUGAAUUUGCUUCUUUGAUAUUUUCUUAGAUUCUAUAACAACAUGUUCUGAUAUUUUGUCAAAUACAAUCGCAAAAGAAGAUUCAUGAAAGUAGAAGUUUAUGGAAUACUAGACUUUCAAAAGGGAUGCAUGAAGCAAGUGAACUAUGUGCAAAUGCUCGAACUUCACAUGGUGGAUAUUUCAUAACCUUUUGGAUAUCUUGUACAACUUUAUUUCUCAAGGAAUGUAUUUAUGAAGGUUCAAUAGUUGUGAUUAUUUGUAUAGCUUUACUCCUUUUUUUAUUUUUAUUAAUCCUCCUGAAUCCUUGAAACAUUGUAAGAAAACAUCUUUUUGGUGUUGAACAUCUUUUAUAAUCUUAUAGCUGUAUAAAUAACAGAAACAAUUA